ensembl:lncRNA
CAUACAUCACAGCAACAUUGUUACUUUAUAUUUUCUUUAUUCAUCAUGUCAUCAUUUUACAAAUUACAAUAUGAAGGACUAACAAAAUGUAUUUAUUUAUGUGGCAGCAUUGAACUAUUUGGAAGUAAUUCACUCGCUUUCUGUGGCAAGGCAGCACUCAUGAAAUUCAAAUCAAACCAUUCCGUAGCUUAGCAGAAUAAUAGAAAGUUAAAGUGCACCAUCAACGAGUGUGAAUGUUGAUCCAAACAUUCGCUCUCUUCCUGAUUGAGCUAGUAAUCAAUUGACACCAAAUGAAUGACACCUAAUAGUUUCACAAGCCCCCGUCUCCUCAAUGACUUGCGCAAAUCAGACUUUCCUAACAAUAAUUUAACUUUCAUGACAAUAAGAGACGUAUUAGUUAAGCAUGUACUUAAUAUGGAAACCGUAGUGCAGAUCUCAAGUAAGAAUACCAAAAAUACAGGGUGAGCAUGAGAUGGUUUGGCCAAGUCAGAGGGAGAUGGUUUGGCCCAGUCAGAGGGAGAUGGUUUGGCCCAGUCAGGGGAUCCUUUAAUACCACUGGUGGUUCAGUCCCUUUACAGGUUACUGUUGCCACCUGCAACACUGUUGCUACUCUCUAUGCAUACACAGCACACAUUUUUCACCCUACAGCACAAGGGAAAUAGCUUGGUCCCAGAUCUGUUUGUGCUGCUUAGCUGAGAGUUGGCUAUUCAGCACUAACAGAUCUGGGACCAGGCUACAGGGGAAAAUACAAUAAUCACAAAUGGGGAAAGUUGCUUUCGUCUCUGAUUUCAUUGUACCAGUAAAUCAAGAAUGAGAUAUCCAUCUUCAAUUUCAAAUCAAAUACAGUCAAACUUUGAUAUAUUAAUUUCCAAAAUGCAUAAAAUGACAUUCUAGUAUGUGUUAUCACAAUUUUCAAUUUUUGGUCUUCCUGCAGUCAAAUUACCUAGUGGCCUCAUGGGUGGAAUGUUAUAAAUAUUAUGCAUUAUUUAUUCAUUAUUCAUAAUUAAUAAACGUCUAUUUUUUUCAUGCCAAAAACUCUGUGUUUCUAUUCCAGCGUUUUCUAUUUAUUUAUUUAAUAUUUCAGUUUUCUGUGAUGUAUAUAAAGUUAAUAUUAGGAUGCAGAUUCAAAAUGUUAUACAACUCUAUAUCUGAUUUGGAACAGGUGUAUACUAUUGUUUCAAAGUAGUAUUACUUUAAAACUACCAAGAAACACUCUGCAUGACCCUGAAUUAGCCCACUGCAGUAAAAGGUAAAUGUAACUAUGGACUUGUUUUAAGAGUUGGCUACCAGGGAAAAAUCAAGAUUUCAUUCUGUACAAGCUGAACUAUAAUUUCACUUGACUAGGAAAGAUAAAUACAAAAACAAUACAACAAAACUGAGUAUUCAGUCACCAUUCUGUAACAGUUGUUCACGUUUUGGAUACAAACUUGGCAUGUAAAACAAAAACAGAAGCAUUGCACUUAACGCAGACUCACACGUAACUUAUGGAAUUGGGGUUACAAAUGAAACACCUUGGGUGUGGGCUCACAACACAUUGAGUGUUAAGAAAAUAGUGUGUUUCUUACUGUGUAAUGGUGAAACAGAAUACAAAGGGAGUUUUUUUACUAGAAAAAGCAAAUCAGUGCCUUUGGCAGUGCUGGAUUUUCCACAGUGGGGAUCUCUAGUGUAUAUGAAGCCAAAGCUAUGGCAAAUACACUCCUUCAUGAACACGGUACCCUUUCUGUUUCUCUGUCUGCAUCCCAAAUGGUAUCCUAUUCCCUAUUCCAAUGUAGUGCACUACUUUUGACCAGGGCCCAUAGGGCUCCAGUCAAAAGUAGUACACUAUGUAGGGAACAGUGUGCCUCUGUGUAACUUACCACCCCAAUCUUACAUAUUAACUGAAUAGGACUCAUCACAUUUCAUGAAUAUGCACACUUCUCCCAGGCAACUCUCAUGAACAUUGCACCGUAUGAAGAUGAAAUUGAUGAAACUUGGGCCUGUGAGGCUUCGAAGACGAGGGUUGCAACAAACCGACUCAUCAGGCAUCAUGUUAAAACAGCAAAUCUUCAUCUAUUCAGUCAUAAGUCAAGCACAGCCACUGCUUUCCUCCCAAGCUUCUGUUCCGAUCACUGGGAAAGGCAUGAUUUUCUGCACACAGUUUUGCCUUGAAGAAUGGGCAAAAAU